ensembl:lncRNA
CCACUUUCUUCAAUUAGAUGCCUUUAAAAAAAUGGGCGGGGGGCAGCCUUCUAAUAGAACAGAUUCCCUUCCUUAAGUAGAUUCUGGGCUUUACCCCCUUCCCCAGCACCCCCAGAGUCAUAAAAACUGAAGUGGAAGGGUUUUGGGGUGUUGAAGAAGCCUUUAAGACAGGCUUCCCAGGUGGCUCAGUGGUAAAGAAGCUGCCUACCAGCACAGGAGACAUGAGUUUGAUACCUGGGUUGGGAAGAUUCCGUGGAGUAGGAAAUGGCAACCUGCUCCAGUGUUCUUUCCUGGAAAGUUCCAUGGACAAAGGAGUGUGGCAGGCUACAGUCCACGGGACACAACUGAGCACACACGCACUGCUGAAGACAAAGCCAUGUUGCUGCCCACCUUCCUCCCAAAGUUCAAGGUUCCUAUUUGCACUCUGUUUAGGUAUCAGUCUGCUAAUCUUUUUCCUGCCGGCCCUAUAAUUUAUUGUUUUAACAUCAUUUUUACAUUCCAUUUAGCAUUUUAGUUAUUUUAAUUAAGAAGGUCUUUCAGGUUCUUUCUCCAUCCUUUGUUCUCUCCAAGUCCCUUAACUCAUUUCUGUUUCAGUAGUUAAUCUAAUUAAGUUGAAUCCCUGGCCUUGUUUUAUGAAUUCAAACAUAAAUAUGUAAACCCAGAGACAUAAGUAGUUGGGUGCCUGUCAGAUAUCUCUUUGAUCCUGGAUGCCACUUCAAGUGGGGUUUUUUACUUUAAAUUGUUUGAAGUUACCUCCUGCAGAUCCUUUUAAGAUCAGAGUUUGAUGUAGGAAAUAAUUUCCUGGGUUGGGUGUAUCACUGCUGUCUUAAAGACCCUUGUUGAUUUGCUAUGCCGUUUUCCUUCUAUCAGAAUUCAUUAUACACUUGGUUUCCACACCAGAAAGUGAAACGACUGUGGUGGAAAGACUAUAAGGACUUAGGCCAAAGAAAUUGAGCAGCAAGACCAGGCAGCAGAGUAGUACCUGAACCGUGAACUUCCAGAUGUUGAAGCUGGAUUUAGAAAAGGCAGAGGAACUGGUGAAGGAGGAAGCAGAACAGGCUCCAUCUUAAAAGCAGACUCUGUCUUGGGCCGGACUGUGGACUUGGAGCUAUAUGCCCAGUAUCUAUGGAAACGACACACCAACUGGAAAACCAGACCCCCUGGAUGAAAGAGCCCAAAGGCUCGUACCUAGACUCUCCAUCACCUAAAAGAAUAGCCUAAUUAUCUGUG